rnacentral:rRNA from 1 species
GAGGAAUAUUGGUCAAUGGGCGAGAGCCUGAACCAGCCAUCCCGCGUGCAGGAUGACGGCCCUAUGGGUUGUAAACUGCUUUUCUGCUCCAAGAAACCUGAUUACGCGUAAUCAGUUGACGGUAGAGUAGGAAUAAGCAUCGGCUAACUCCGUGCCAGCAGCCGCGGUAAUACGGAGGAUGCAAGCGUUAUCCGGAUUCAUUGGGUUUAAAGGGUGCGCAGGUUGGAAUGUAAGUCAGUGGUGAAAUCCUGCCGCUUAACGGUAGAACUGCCAUUGAUACUGCGUUUCUUGAGUAUGGUUGAGGUAGGUGGAAUGUGUUGUGUAGCGGUGAAAUGCAUAGAUAUGACACAGAACGCCAAUUGCGAAGGCAGCUUACUAAGCCAUUACUGACGCUGAGGCACGAAAGCGUGGGGAUCGAAC